AACUCUGAUAUCAGUGUCGUCCGAGUCAUACGCAAUAACUAAAACUUUCAACAACGGAUCUCUUGGUUCCGGCAUCGAUGAAGAACGCAGCGAAAUGCGAUAAGUAAUGUGAAUUGCAGAAUUCAGUGAAUCAUCGAAUCUUUGAACGCACAUUGCGCCCCUUGGUAUUCCGAGGGGCAUACCUGUUCGAGCGUCAU
rnacentral:rRNA from 2 species